CAGUGGGGAAUAUUGCACAAUGGGCGCAAGCCUGAUGCAGCCAUGCCGCGUGUAUGAAGAAGGCCUUCGGGUUGUAAAGUACUUUCAGCGGGGAGGAAGGUGUUGUGGUUAAUAACCGCAGCAAUUGACGUUACCCGCAGAAGAAGCACCGGCUAACUCCGUGCCAGCAGCCGCGGUAAUACGGAGGGUGCAAGCGUUAAUCGGAAUUACUGGGCGUAAAGCGCACGCAGGCGGUCUGUCAAGUCGGAUGUGAAAUCCCCGGGCUCAACCUGGGAACUGCAUUCGAAACUGGCAGGCUUGAGUCUUGUAGAGGGGGGUAGAAUUCCAGGUGUAGCGGUGAAAUGCGUAGAGAUCUGGAGGAAUACCGGUGGCGAAGGCGGCCCCCUGGACAAAGACUGACGCUCAGGUGCGAAAGCGUGGGGAGCAAACAGGAUUAGA
rnacentral:rRNA from 1 species